rnacentral:tRNA from 1 species
GGAUACAGCUCAGGGCUAGAGCUCUUGCCUCGCAUGCACGAGGCCCUGAGUUCAAUCCCCAGGACCA